UAUAUGGAUAGAGGAAUAGAGAGAGAGUUAGACAGAAACAUAAAUAGACAGACAGGUAUGUGUAUAUGUGUUUGCGCGCGCGCGUGUGUGUGUGUGUGUGUGUGUGGUUUUAGAUAGACUGAGUGAUAAAGAAAGACAGAGAGACAGGUGGACAGAUAGACAGGAAACAGAUAGAUAGAUAGAUAGAUAAAUUGAUAUAUAGAUAGAUAGAUAGAUAGAUAGAUAGAUAGCAAAGCAUAAAAGUCCUGGGACAUAUAGAGAAAUUACAACACAUAAAUUCUCACCCAUAUACAUUCAUACUAUUUUAUUUACACAUGCUCUCUCACACACACACACGCACACACUCACACAAUUGCAAACAUACACAUACAUACACACAAACGCGCACACAUACACAUACACACACACCCAUACCCACACGCACACAAACACACAGACACACACACGCUCGUACGCGCACACAUGCACGUACAAUAUCACUUAGCUACAUUCUGUUUACUGACAAAUCAAGAUAAUUCAUAAACACAGCAAAAAUGAAUUACGACAGAACGCAUUGAGCUAAUUUCUUUAUUGGGCAAAAUCAGCAUUUGGCCUAUUAAUUGGUAACGUGUACGAACAUGUUCUGAUAUCUGUGUCAACGCUCUCAUAACGUGAUGACGCACAAUAUCUGUGUGUGUAUGUGUGUGUGAGUGCGCACGCGGGCGUAUGUGUAUAUCCGGCUUUGUAUGUGUGUAUAGGUAUUUACUUACAUAUAUAUUUACAGUUCCGGACAGCAUAUCCGGCUUCCAAAAAUCCGGAAUUACCAAAAACCCGGCUAUUUUGUACAGAUGAUCCACUGACAACUACAUGCUUAUUGUGUAAAUUUUGUUAAAGUUUUCAUCUAUAACCAUUUUCAAAAGAAUAGUAGAUACACUUAUAUAUAUUUAUAUUACAGUUCCGGACAUCAAUGCUGGCUUCUAGAAAUCCGGAAUUUUUUUAAAACCGGUUUUUUUUUUUACAGAUGAUCCUCUCAGCUAUAUGGUUAUUGGUGAGAAUAUUAUCAUAGUUUUCAUCUAUAACCAUGUUUAACAGACCAGCAAACACACACACACACACACACACACACACACACACACACACACACACACACACACACACACACACACACACACACACACACACACACACACACACAUUACGGUACCGGACAUUUAUUCGCUUUCCAGAAAAUCCGGAAUUACCAAAAGUACAGCCGCUUUGUAUAGGUGUUCUUCGCUCAGCUACAUGCUCCCUUGUGUGAAUUUUAUUAUAAUUUUCAUCUAUAACCGUGUUUAAAAGACCAGUAGAAAUAUCAUCAGAUGAAGAUUAGUGGAUUCCGUGAAUAUGCCUGUCACGGUACCAAGCAAUAUCAUGCAAUAUACUGUAACAUGUAUUGAGUGAGAAGACCCUUUUAUCGAAGUUGGUUAGUUUUCAUACGGGUCGAUAAAAUUGCACCAAACCAGGCGGUGAAAUGACUAAUUGUAUGAACAUCCGAGGACGGAUACUUUGCAGCGUUUAACAACGAUACCUUAGGUGGCUGGGAUGUCUGUUACAAGCAUCCAAGUCUGACUUCAGUUUUGAAAAUAUAUUCAUGCCUCACACUAAGGCCAUGUGAAGGAUCGUGGGCACUGCUUUCCCUGUUGACUAAAAGAAUAUUUGAAAAAAUGAACGAAAUGGUACAAAACCUGUUAGGUUUACUGGAGAUAUGGCAUGAAUCAACAUGGGACAUUAUACGAGCUACAAGCAGUACCAAUGCAACCUGAGCUUGGGACCAAGUGCGGCAGAUGAUUGGCGCUGAUGAAAUCUGGGAUAUAUAGCAGCUGAAAGUGAAGGCACGAGACUUAGUGAUUUGGGUAUUCGGCUCACGAACGUAAGUUCUUGAGUUCGAUUCCUGGCCUCGCGUUGUCCUUGAGCAAGAUACUUUAUUUUCACGUUGCCCUCUUUCACUCAGCAGGCAAAAAUGAGUUGUACAUGUAAUUCAAAGGACCAACCUUGUCACACUGAAUCUCCUUGGCAACUACUUUAAGGGUACGCGUGUCUGUGGGGUGCUCAGCUACUUGCACGUUAAUUUUACGAAUAGGCUGUUCUGUUCAUCAAAUCAAUUGGAACACUCGUCGUCGUAACCGACGAAGAGCCGGGCACAUUAGUAAUUGAAAGCAUAUACAGGGUACCUAAACCUUCUACAGUUCUUUUCGUACUAACGCAAGCUUACCCUUUUAUCAAUCCUUUUCUCGGAGUGGAUAUAACAUAUUUAUCCUUUUCCCUCUUUAGCAUUCCCUUCCCUUACAUGUUCAAACACAAAAACUGAUACACAAACUCUAUAUCAACCACCUGUGCCGGAGCCAGGAGUCAAUUGUUCAAUAUCAUAACAAUAGCUUCAAACAUACAAAUAUACACACAUGCAUAAUAUCUAAUUGUUUAUAUGUAUUUAUAUGUAUUCAUAUACACGCACACCCACAUACAUACAUACAUACAUACAUACAUGCAUGCAUACAUAAAUACAUACAUACAUACAUGCAUACAUACAUACACACAUACUUACUCUCACAGAUACAAAUUCAUAAGCGCGCACGCGCGCGCACACACUCACACACACACACACACACACACACACACACACACACACACACACACACACACACACACACACACACACACACACACACACACACACACACACACACACACUCAAAUACGUAUCUUAAACCUUUAAAGCCCUCUCAAUGCAUAGGAGAUUUACACACAAGUUUCAGUAUAAGGGAUUUCAUGUUUGUUGUCUGUAUGAUUAUAUCGCUGAUCAGCAACAGCAAUUAGUAAAAUAAUAACCGUUUCACUCAGUGGUAAUAAUAUGAAAUAUCCCAAAUAUAUAUUUAGGAUACAGUAAUGUUAUAACUAAUCCUUUUGUCCCACUGAUGAGUACCUGUUGAGCACUGGAAUUGAUGAAAUCUACUUCCCCACUCUUCAAAAUUGCUGGCCUUGUUCCAAAAAUGAGAAAGCGUUACCAGAGGCAUGGAACUUAUAGUAGCUUGCGUUUAAAUGUUGUGUAUAUUAAAUGAUAUUUAUUUCCCAUUGGGUGGAGUACUUUUUUGUUAGUCACACCAAUAACGGGACAGUAAGCUCUGCAUGCGUGCGCGUGUGCGUGCAUGCGCGCGCGAGUUUAUUUAUAUCUGUACGUGAGUGAAAAAGCGUGUGAGAGUGUGUUAGUUCAACAUACAUCUACAGAUACAAUGCUUGGAAACCUCGUCAGUGUUACAUCCUGGAGUCACUGAUAGUUUUUAUUCUUACAACAAACACCCUCAUCCAAGCGACCUGACCUAGAUUGAUCAAGCCUAAAUAUGUGCCUGAAAUAACACAGUGCAUGUGGUCAAUGGCUUGAAUUUUGAACCAGAGAUAAAUGUGUCUAUGUGUGUGGCAUACGUGUGCACGCGCACAAACACGCGCGCACACGAAAACAAACGGCACUUUACGGGCCCCACUCAUCACCUCUUUUCCGCCAGAGCCAUCGAGAUGGUUUCUCAUUGGUCUUUACAUGGAUUUUUUUGUCAUUGCUGUAAUGCCCAGGGUUCCACAGACCUUGCACAGGGUAUGAUCUACUAAGCCUCAGUUGCCAGCUACAACUGGCAAAAAAAAUUUAGGUCCUCACUCAUUCUUGCAGUUUUUGUUGGCACUCCGUCGCUUACGACAUCGAGGGUUCCAGUUGAUCCGAUCAACUGAACAGCCUGCUCGUGAAAUUAACGUGCAAGUGGCUGAGCACUCCACAGACACGUGUACCCUUAAUGUAGUUCUCGGGGAUAUUCAGCCUGACACAAUGUGACAAAGCUGACCCUUUGAAUUACAGGUACAACACAAACAGGAAGUAAGAGUGAGAGAAAGUUGUGGUGAAAGAGUAGAGCAGGGUUCGCCAUCAUCCCCUGCCGGAGCCUCGUGGAGCUUUAGGUGUUUUCGUUCAAUAAACACUCACAACGCCCGGUCUGGGAAUCGAAACCGCGAUCCUAUGACCGCGAGUCCGCUGCCCUAACCACUGGGCCAUUGCGCCUCCACCAUUCUUGCAGUAGUCCGCCUCGAACUCCUGGUACUUACGUUUCUUCCUCUCUUACGCCUCUUUGUUUUCUUUGCCAAAGGUUCAUGUCAACCCAAAAACAUUAUGAGUGUAUGCAUGUCGUGAAUUUACAUAUACAUGUAUCUAAUAUAAACUGUGAAAUUUAUUUCUUAUAGUUUGCUUUCGUGGAACUAACCAAACACAUAUAAAUAACGCUGUAAACGCAUCAACAUCUCUCCAUAAGCUUGGGUAGAUAUGUUGGUUAUAGACACAGCAUGCACACGCACUCACACAUAUACACACAUGUGCAUGUCUACGCCUACAAGCGACGCAUGCGCAUUUUACAAGAGUACACACUCGCUGUUAUUUUCAUAAGAGUACUACAAAAGACUGAUACAAGCAUAUUCCUCUCCAACACUCUCUCUCUCUUCCUCAUUCUCUCUUCGUCAUUUAUCUCUCUUUGAAAUAUUCCUUCAUCUCAUGUUUUAUCCUUUGUGUCCAGUCCCUCCCAUUUGCAACUUUUAUAUAGAUGCCUGCUCGUCCCCACAUCAAUUUCUCAUGCAAGCUUACCUUUCAUUUAUUCCCCUUCCUUCCCUAUUUUUUUUUUUAUUAUUAUUUUUUCGUGUCAUUACUUUUUUCUUCAUUGGUUUCUUUAUUAUUUGUUUUCGCCCUUCCCUUUAAGCUUCUUUUCCUUUCAUUUUCUUUCUUUCUUUUUUGUUUACUUUCUCCCUUUUCUAUAAUUUAUUUGUUCAUCUUAAAGCGUCUUUCAGAAAGCAACAGGAGGCUCCUCACAGCUGAACGAUACAGGAAAACUAAAUCCCUCAUUGUCAAUAAAGUUGUAAACACUAAUUUGGUCAAAAGCAUCAUGAAAGAUACAAAGGGCCUGGUUACUGAAGGUCUAAAACUUUGCGUCACCUGUGGACUACAGGUAAAAAAAAUAAAUAAAAAAAACAAAGCAAAAGAAAAGCAAAUAUUAAAAUAUGUUACGAAUAAAGCUGAAGCAUAAAGCCAAUGUGAGGUGUAAAUAUAUGUGUGUGUGUGUCGUUUACUUGUUCCAGUCAUUAGACUUCGGCCAUGCUGGGGCACUGCCU